CUAGGUUUGAGGGCGUUUGCUGAGGGGUCGUUUCUCUUGCUUUCCCUUCCCAUUUUAUUUUACUCCAUCAUAAAACUGAGGACGGUAAAGCCACGCUUCUCUUUUUUAUAAUAAUGAAGAUUUACUCGUGGCAGCCGCGGAUCCUCUCCAUUCCCCUUGCUUUCUCCCUCCAAGCUAGAAGCCCUUAACCCAGUUCUUUGUCAUAAUGGAAGAAGCCAAAAUAGUUUGCAUGGGCCAAAUCGGGACCACAAAUGAUUAUUGUACAACUUGUGAGCUACAAAUGGUUCUUAUGUUUUAUAAAAAGUGUAAACGAAACAGAAAAUAAUCUAUGGAAAGGUCUGAGAGCCACCAUAUUCUCAUCUGCAGAGAAAGCAAAUAUGGACCCUUACUCCAAGCAUUUGAGUUGAAGGUAACAUCUUCCUUCAAAAUGCACUCCUGUCAACUCUGCCUCAGUUCUUCAGACAUGUCAAAAGAAACGUCCUUUUCUCCAUGACCAAGAGUUGGCUGCAUCUGGGGAUAUUGUUCUAGUAAGUCUCAGAGAGGUCAAUCUAGAAAUAAUCUGCUGUGAGAAAAGGAACUAGUUGUGCAUAA